CCUACGGGAGGCUGCAGUGAGGAAUAUUGGUCAAUGGCCGCAGGGCUGAACCAGCCAAGUCGCGUGAGGGAUAACGGUCCUAUGGAUUGUAAACCUCUUUUGUCAGGGAGCAAAGGGCGCCACGUGUGGCGCUUUGCGAGUACCUGAAGAAAAAGCAUCGGCUAACUCCGUGCCAGCAGCCGCGGUAAUACGGAGGAUGCGAGCGUUAUCCGGAUUUAUUGGGUUUAAAGGGUGCGCAGGCGGAAUGUCAAGUCAGCGGUAAAAUUUCGGGGCUCAACCCCGUCGUGCCGUUGAAACUGGCGUUCUUGAGUGAGCGAGAGGUAUGCGGAAUGCGUGGUGUAGCGGUGAAAUGCAUAGAUAUCACGCAGAACUCCGAUUGCGAAGGCAGCAUACCGGCGCUCAACUGACGCUCAUGCACGAAAGCGUGGGUAUCGAACAGGAUUAGAUACCCCUGUAGUC
rnacentral:rRNA from 1 species